GAUGAACGCUGGCGGCGUGCCUAAUACAUGCAAGUCGAGCGAACGGACGAGAAGCUUGCUUCUCUGAUGUUAGCGGCGGACGGGUGAGUAACACGUGGAUAACCUACCUAUAAGACUGGGAUAACUUCGGGAAACCGGAGCUAAUACCGGAUGAUAUUUUGAACCGCAUGGUUCAAAAGUGAAAGACGGUCUUGCUGUCACUUAUAGAUGGAUCCGCGCUGCAUUAGCUAGUUGGUAAGGUAACGGCUUACCAAGGCAACGAUGCAUAGCCGACCUGAGAGGGUGAUCGGCCACACUGGAACUGAGACACGGUCCAGACUCCUACGGGAGGCAGCAGUAGGGAAUCUUCCGCAUUGGGCGAAAGCCUGACGGAGCAACGCCGCGUGAUUGAUGAAGGUCUUCGGAUCGUAAAACUCUGUUAUUAGGGAAGAACAUAUGUGUAAGUAACUGUGCACAUCGUGACGGUACCUAAUCAGAAAGCCACGGCUAACUACGUG
rnacentral:rRNA from 1 species